AAGACAAAACAUACAAAUCAGGGGAGUGUCCUUUUAUGCAGUAAACCCCAUCAUUUAGCAUUUAUCAUUCGGUAUGCAGAUUGGUCAUUUCCUACCUAUAUACCAAAUCAACACUUGCACUGAAGAGUUAAGACAGAACCCAUCAUUUAUCAUUCGGAUUGUAGGCUGCAACUUUGCAUGAAGCCGGAAUCGCCAUUAAUCGCCGGUCAGCCAUGCGGCGAUGAAUUCAUUCCCGGACCUGUUUUAAACAAAUAUACCUUAUAAGGAAACUGAUCCUUGGAAAACCAUUCACGGGUUUUAGGUUCUUCGACAAGAAUCAAGUUGGCCACAUUAGGGUUGGAUGCGACUGAUUGGGUUUUCAAUUUUGGUGCAUGCAACUUUGGGUGGUAGAAAAUUGAAAUGGAGAGGUUUUGAUUUUCGGUGAUUACAAAGAUUUGGGUGUUUUCUUUGUUUUUGAGUGGUAAUUAAUGACUGUUUUGUUUU